CUAAAUUACACUAAAUUUCAAAUAGCAGAGAGCUAGUAAUCGAAAUUGGUCUCAUAGUUAAUCUAAUUUUUCUGAUAUUUUAGAUAGAUUUGGAACUCAUGGUAACUCGCGAUCUAAGCUAAAUGAAAUGAAGGCUAGCAUUUUUGUCCAAGCAGGCUCACUCUUGGUAAUUCAAGUGAUUUGCAGGAAAAGCACUUGACGUUCAGGAACAAUCAUUGCUGCAAAUCAAUGUGAAUUAGUAAGAGAAGAUAACUUUGUUAAAAAUCAACAGCCUUCGGAUCCCAUUAAUAGCUUGACGUUAGGAACCAGUAUUUCAUGAGUUUUGAUAUCAAAAGGGACACCACAUCACGCAACAGCCAGCCUCACUCUUCCAAUUUUGCAUGAUCCCUCGGAACAGCACUUGCCGCAUUAGGAACAAUCAUUGCGAAGGAUCAGUUAAAAUUCGAAGAGCAGAGAACUGUUUUGCGACCAUUCAAUCCAGACAUCACUUGAAUUCGAUAGUCUAAUCAGGAAACCGAAUAAGAGCAUUCUGAUAGAAGCAGGCUUACUCUUAGAGAUUUAAGUGAUUUUGCGAAAAAGAAUUGCCGUUUAGGAUCAAUCAUUUCCCUAAAUCAAUGUAAAUCUUUAAGAGGAGAGAACUUGUACUAGAAUAUUGUUCUGUAAACUGAAUUUUAGAAUAUUGCUAUUCCUAACAAAAAAAAAACUUUGUUUUUUUUUCACCCAGUCCGGGAUAAUUAUUACCUCUGAGAUAGGUCCCAAUAUUAAUUUUCUUCUUUUUCUUAUGUAAAUAUUUAUUCUUUGUUUAUAUUUUGUCUUUUUUGUAAAUAAUUAUCCCCUUACUAUAAAAGUUGUAAAUACUUGUAUAUAACUAUUCCCUUACUAUAAAAUAUGAAAUCUGUAAAUAAAAUUUGAAUUCAAAUUCCCUCCCAUAAAACCCUACAUCGUCAUUCCUUCCUCCUUGCACUAAAAUAACAUGGCGCACAUUACCAACUGCGCAAAAACAAACCGCUCCCGGGAAAUGUUCCGCGGACAUAGAUUUUGCAGCAUCAUGAAAUUGCUUAAAAGCCAAUGUUGGUGAAGGCAAAAGCCUCUUUUCGGAACAAAGUUUCAAGUGUUGUGCGACGCGAGUGGUCCAAAGUUACAGCCCUCGCGGGGUUUUGACCAGUGAUAAUUGUACCGAUUAAUCAGCCCUGGAACGUACCGACGAAACCGCCUACCACCCCUCAACCGUUCGCGACGAAAGGCCGUUCGCUACCCCUCGCCCGUCAAGAAGUGCGCCCGGUGCCCAGCUCGAGUCGACAUUGAAUCGGGUCAUCACGGAGUGUUCGAACGGCGAUUCGUCCGACAAGACCCCCAGCAGUUGGCAACCGGCAAAUGAUCCGCCAUCCGGCGCCAGGUGAUGUGCAGUGCAAAAAAUCCCAAAUAACCCUAUUCCCAUUUCCCGUAAAUUACUAAAUAAACUAAACAAAUGAAUUCGAAUUUUAUAAUCA